CUCCUUUUGUAGUUCAUAAAUGUGCUGGCUGGGUUUUCACACUCAUAUGUGAAAUGUGCCUCCCACAAACCUUGUUAUGUCAGCACAUUAACAAUCUGAUG